rnacentral:rRNA from 1 species
UACGUAGGGGGCAAGCGUUGUCCGGAAUCAUUGGGCGUAAAGAGCGCGUAGGCGGCCCUGUAAGUCCGCUGUGAAAGUCGAGGGCUCAACCCUCGAAUGCCGGUGGAUACUGUCGGGCUUGAGUACGGGAGAGGCGAGUGGAAUUCCUGGUGUAGCGGUGAAAUGCGUAGAUAUCUGGAGGAACACCGGUGGCGAAGGCGGCAUCCUGGACCAACACUGACGCUGAGUGAGCGAAAGCCAGGGGAGCAAACGGG